AAUCAACGCUGGCGGCGUGCCUAACACAUGCAAGUCGAACGCGAAAGUGGAGCAAUCCAUGAGUAGAGUGGCGAACGGGUGAGUAACACGUGGGUAAUUUACCUUUGGGUGGGGAAUAGCAGCCGGAAACGGCUAUUAAUACCGCAUAAUGCAGCGGCUCGACAUCGAGACAGUUGUUAAAGCGGGGAUCUGACAAGGACCUCGCGCCUAAAGAGAAGCCUGCGUCAGAUUAGCUAGUUGGUAGGGUAAUGGCCUACCAAGGCUGUGAUCUGUAGCCGGCCUGAGAGGGCGGUCGGCCACACUGACACUGACACACGGGUCAGACUCCUACGGGAGGCAGCAGUCGGGAAUUUUGGGCAAUGGGCGCAAGCCUGACCCAGCAACGCCGCGUGAAGGAUGAAAUCCCUCGGGAUGUAACUUCGUAAGAAUAGGAAGAAUAAGUGUAGGAUAAUACCUGNACUGAUGACGGUACUAUUCGUAAGC
rnacentral:rRNA from 1 species